rnacentral:rRNA from 1 species
UCUGCUGUUAAAACUCGGAGCUUAACUCCAGUCAUGCAGUGGAAACUGUUGGGCUUGAGUGCGGUAGGGGCAGAGGGAAUUCCCGGUGUAGCGGUGAAAUGCGUAGAUAUUGGGAAGAACACCAGUGGCGAAGGCGCUCUGCUGGGCCAUCACUGACGCUCAUGGACGAAAGCCAGGGGAGCGAAAGGGAUUAGAUACCCCUGUAGUCCUGGCCGUAAACGAUGAACACUAGGUGUCGGGGGAAUCGACCCCCUCGGUGUCGUAGCCAACGCGUUAAGUGUUCCGCCUGGGGAGUACGCACGCAAGUGUGAAACUCAAAUGAAUUGACGG